UGAUUUUGUGAAUUUAAAUUUUUUUAAAAAUUGUCAUUUCCCCAAGUUUAUGUAGGUUUUGUUUGAAGUCAGUGAACCACAAAUGAGACCACUCGAGUAGUAGAAGAAGCUUCUUAUAAAAACUAAUAACGUUGAACCAAUAACCAAUGUUAACUACAAAUGGCUGAAUUUUCUUUUAGCUUUCGUCUUAUUUGUUGAAUUCUUUUUUUAUUUAUGUUGUUUACAUAACUUAAAAAUAGAAUUAUUUUUGCUGAUUGACCACUACCUUGCUGAUAGUCUUGGUCCUAUAGAAAUGGUCUUUGGUCUCGUUUAUUUGUCUGUGAUGUAGUGAGGGAAGUGGUAAUUAAGGUUAAGGCACCACUUCUUUGAAAUGGCCUAUAGUUAGAUUUUGUUACUUGUAUUAUUUUAUGGUGAGCGAUAUUGCCGAUAUAUAUAAAAUGAUUUUUUUUUUAAAAGAAUGCUCAUUCCCCAAGUUAAGAUAUUUUUUUUUUUGAAGGGAGUUAACGGAAAUGUGGAAGAAGUUUCUCACAAAUUAUUAGGCAAAAGUUAGAGGAGUGGAUCUGCUUAUUGAGAAUUUUUUUAGUUAAGCAUUCACCAAGGGCAAGCACCCUCUUAAUUAAUUAAUAAUUGAAGUAUUCUGUGCUAAGCAUUGAAAACCAUAAAUCUUGGAAAUCAACCCAUCUAGUUGUGACGCCUGGUUUAAUUAAUACCUAAGUACAUGGUUAAUGUGCACCAUUCAAGGUAUCUGCUAUUCAUGUGGUACCAUCUAUUACCAUGUUGCGAUAUAAUUUUCCUUUCUUCUAAUGAUUAUAGUACAUGUAGAUUUUCUUAUUGCUUUUUAUUGUCUUUGAUAGCUUUCUCAAUUAUGAUAAUUUGUUAAAAGGGUCUAAAAAGUGCAUUUAGUUGUUUAAUUAAAAAAUAUUAUAUUUUUUCUUUGAUAAGUUGAUUCCAAGAGUUUUUGUCUUAUUCACAUUACUGAUGGUUUUUCACAGUUCCGAACUGUUUUGUUUGUCUGUUUGUUUUUUUUUCCCUAUUUUUGGUAAGUUAUUAUCUUGAUUAGUGUUGUAUUUAUCAUAUGAUCUUCCAUGAUAACUUCUUGAUUGAUCUUUUUAAGUUAUUUAGGAGGGUUGGUCAUUACUCUUUUCUAUUUUGGUUAUUUCUUCAUUUUUCUUUUUGUAUUUUUAAAUUAUCAAUUAUUUUUACCCUUUUCUUAUUUUUGUCAUGAAUCUUUUAAACUUUUGCAAGUAUUUUUAAGCUUUCUUAGGUUAUUUAUUUAUGUUGUUCAUGAUUUUUUGAAUAUUGUUCAUUGCGCUUAGUGCACAAUUAGCCGCUGGCCUCUUUAUACACAGUACCUAUCUCAUCUACUUAUGAUUGUAGAGGUGUGAAAUCAUGGCAAAUAUUUUCCCUUUGUUGAUUUCAACAAACAAUUUGAAAUACCGAAAAGUUUUGGUUUUUUUAAUAGUAUGUUUUAGUUGAAAAAAAAAAAACAGUUAUUUGAAUCACUACUUUAAAAUUACACUUGUGAAAUCUAGUGAGCCAACCUAUAGAUUUGUAAAUGCAUGCAUGUUUAUGCAUUUUUUUUCUUGUUGAACAUUCUAGAAUGGGAAGUUCUCUUGACUAAGAAACUGGUUAAACUUCCAGAUUUUCGUAUGAUGUAGUUCUCCUUUUUUUAGUUUUCUUGUUUAUAUUUAUCUGUCUCUUACGAAAUAUGUUAUGGCCCAAGUUUAAUUCGCGGAUUCACUUGUUUUCUUGGCAUUUAACAACGUUCAUAGUGGCCCUUAAUUUUAAUUUCCAUUCUUGAACUUGCACUGAUUUGUUUUAUUACGUAAGAGAACAAAUUUGUUUGGCUGAUGAACUUGAACUGACUUGUAUUUUGUCUGUAGUGGUUGCUUCUUAUCUUUGUGGCAAAUAACCAUGGAUUUGAAUGAACUCCUUACUUCUACAUGUCUAUAUCAUGCAGGCAAGUUUAACUUCUUACGUCUAAUUUUGGAGUUCAACUUUGGGAAUCCUUUGCAACAUAGAGGAGCACCAUGGGCACCUAGGCUCCAGGAAAAAGCAGUUCUUUCUAACUCAUGCCAGGGCUGCCGCCAAUGCUUUCUUGACGGAUGAUCAGUGCCAUGCAUCAGAGGUUUCUGUCGUCGUUGCAGUUGAGCUUCGUCUUCUUAUCAAUGCAAAUCUUCUGAUGAGGUUGAUAGAAUGUUAUCUGAAUCAAGCCAUUUUGUUGAAAUGUUCUGGUCUAACAGUGCCGGAUGCUGUGGCUUGAUGUUUAAACUAGCCAAAGUUCUUCUGAUAAAAAAAUGCUGAUCCUGCUGUUCGCCCUCGAAUAAGAGCCACUAUUUCGAAAAUCAACCUACAGACAAGUGAAUUGCUCUGCAAAGAGUAACAAACUGAGAGAUGCAUGGACACUGCAGAUUGAACAAAAUCUGUUCAGGUAAGUUGAACUGUAUACCUUGAAUUGAUUUAAGUACAAUGAAUCUUCGAAUAAUGCAGGACAGGCAACUUUCUUAGACACUGGACAUUUUGAAAUUUUGUUGAUAUCUCUCUGUAUUGUGGAGAACACUGAAAAUAUCCAGGUUUUUGUACAUGCUGCGGCAAGUCACUCUUCAUGAACCAAGCUUGGCCGGGAAGUCAUGAGAAUUUAGAACAUCUGGCAAAGCAUCAUAUUGGAACUCAUAUUAAAUUAGCUAUUAUAAAUUAGUUGAAAAUGAAUGUGUAUUUAUUCUUUUCUUGAAUCUAUAGGCUUGUGAUCUGAGAAAGAUUGGCAAAGUAGAAAUGUUUCUAUUGUUGCAGAAGAUUUGUUCCAAGUGAUUGUAAUUUUUCCCCCUUUUUACC